GGCUCCUCCUCCAUGCAGCCUUCCCUGAGCUCUGCGGCUGGAAAGAAUCGGUUCUUCUGGACACAGCAGUGAGCCUUAGCCCCAUUUUAUUCUGCUCUCUGUUAGAAUGAGUUGUUAACACAUGUGAUCUCCCUCCUACUGCCUCCAGCCUCGUGUUUGCAUAUAGUAGGUGCUGGUCGCAGAAGAUUUGAAUGGAAGAAAAGAGGAAAGUGAAAAACAUUGGUAAUUCCACCAGCCGAAGAUACUACGGUGGGCAUUUGCCAGAUCAUUCUAGGUCUUCCACAGCGUCAUGUGAAGUGACUGUGUGGCAUGCACCAUGAUCUUCUAUUAUCUAUCAUUGAUUUAGGAGAUUUCCAACUUUCUCUUUGAGAUAAAUCUUUGCAAGGUCACACCUUCCCAGUUUUUGGCAAGUCUCAUAAUUUUUGUGUUGAAAACUAGACAUUUAAAAAUAAUGUAUUGGGGACUUCCCUG